GUUGGGAAAUUCCGAAAUAAAAGUCCUUGGCCAGAUUGGCUGAGGCGCCAGACAAUCCUGGAUGAUUGGCCUCAGGGCGCCGUCAACAUAUCCCUUCCUAUAAUUUUCCCGGGCUAGUAGCUCAGUUGGUUAGAGCACACGCUUGAUAAGCGUGGGGUCGGAGGUUCAAGUCCUCCCUGGCCCACCAGAGAUUGGGGGCAUAGCUCAGCUGGGAGAGCACCUGCUUUGCAAGCAGGGGGUCGUCGGUUCGAACCCGUCUGCCUCCACCAGUCACGGUUGAGAUUUCGGUCUCCUCUGAGUGGUGUAGAGCUCAAGAUCUGGUCCGUAAGGGAAAAUCAUAGGAAACGGGACUUCUGUUUCCUGAUCCUGUCUCCACGAAGUUGGAUGACGCGUCAGGGAUGUUGGGUCUUUUAGAGUGUGAAUAGGUUGGUGCGCAGUCUGCGUGUGCCAUUUCCGGGUUGGUCUGACCCGUUGCUGUGGAGCUUAGGCUUCAUUGCAAUGCUAAGGAAAUGGGGAAGCAUUCAGACAGCGUGAAGAAAAGUGUGACUGACACCGCAUGAGUGCGGAAGUCGGCAGCAUCUUUGUGGUGUGGCUGGUUUCUGUGCAUGUGUCUUCAUCCUCGGGUGAAGAAUGGUGUGA
rnacentral:tRNA from 1 species